UAUCGUGCAUGUUGAAGUUGUCGCUCAGAGGACAACUUAAACUCUGCUUCCUUAUUUUUCUCAUUAAGUGUUGUCUGGAUAAAUGAUGUUUAAAAAAUAAAUGAGAAAGUUAGGACCUAUAUAGCACCUUGGCUUUCUAUCAUAAGCAAAAAAUAUAUUUUAAGUCAAAACACAAAAAUUUGGAAAACAAAAACAUAAUAAUGAGUGAGUACAUUGAAACGAACCGAUUCAAGAACCGAAAUCAUGUAAGAAAGUCGUGUUGGUUGUGAAGUAAUGGUAACAUUUUGACCCAAAUCAUUUACUUUGGCUACAAUUUUUGAGACUAAGGAUUCGGAAUUACAAUCAUACCCUUUGCACCCUUCUUCUAUUUUCGACUCAUUUAGAACCACUCCCUCGCGUGUAAUAGAGGCGUUAUCGUAAAUAGACACUUUGUGGACCAAAAUACCCUUGGUGACACAGGUGAUAGAAUGGAUGUGUCGUUCUUAUAUGGGAUCGCGAGUAAUUGAGCUAGAACUAUGAGAACAACCACAAGGCUUAUGACCAAAAUAAGCAGUCUUUGGAUUUAAACUCGACAUAAUCUUCGUAAUGGGCGUCCGGUUUCCAUGGGCGUUUACGUAAUUAACUGCAUCAAGUACACUUCUGUGGAGCUUGUUAUGUAUGCCAUGUUGCUGAUUAAUAGUUCGACCUAUGAUAAAUAAUAUUUGACAAAUAAGAGGUAUUACUAGAAAUGGAUUAAUGUGAAAUUGAAUAAUUAGAUUCAGAUAAUAUGUUGGAACAAAAAAAAAGGUAGUGUUAAAUUCUGGCUAUCAACGGAAAUAACAGAUACAUAAGGUUAUAUAAGUAAUUUCACUCUACCAUUGGAUAAACUGAUGAUUGCAACUUCAAAUGACAAUGCAGAAAAUAUAAAAAUCUAUGCACCUGGUCAAGAACCCCAAUCACAUUUUCAUGGGUCAAAAUUCAAAAGUCAACAUAUUCAUACUGUUUUUUCGACGCGAAUUGACAACAAAUCGCAUACGAAUCUUGAAAAAUUGGAAUUUCCGAUUCUCAGAUUCUCAUCAAAUCAUAUUUCGGAUUCGGACUUAAAGAUUCAUAGCUUAUGUUUAAAAAAUUACCCCAUGUGUAAAACGGACUAUUGAACUCAAAUUUAUUCCUUAAACGAUUGAUUAAUUUCUGAUUGACAUUAAACAAGCAUAAUAACACGAUCAAACAAUGCAUAUUCAGAGAAUACCCAAAUAGAUUGACGACAUAAAUUCGAAAAAGAAAAUCCUACUGAGGUAUGAGUGAGUAGUUGAAGUUACCCGAUGAAUCGAUGAUCAAUGCGAGUAAAGAACAGUUUUUUCCAGAAUAAUUGAAGAAAUACCCACUAAGGAUUUAUACAGAAAAUCAUAAAAACUGGUUUUCUGAGUUCUAAUUUGAACCUCCCAGCAAUGUGUAAUAGUGUGUGUUUCUUGGGGAAAGAGUUCAACGGAGGGUAAUUUCUAGUUUCUGUAUGAGUUACAAUUUGAGUCCAUCAAGUAUUGUUUAUGUAACUUUACACACCUGUGUCAAGUUUACAUAAACUAUCCCUGCUUUCAUACGGAAAUUACAAAGUUGGUCCUUAUAUUUUAUAGAUUAUAAAAAUGGUCUCUGUUUAAUAGUAAACUUACAGAAAAGGUCCAUGUAUUUACAAAAGUACA
rnacentral:lncRNA from 1 species